UAGUCUCGGCCCAUCGCUGCAAAAUCAGCGGUCGGGUUUAGUAGCCCGGU
rnacentral:ncRNA from 1 species